rnacentral:tRNA from 1 species
UGGUGCCCAGGGGCGGAAUCGAACCACCGACACGGGGAUUUUCAGUCCCCUGCUCUACCAACUGAGCUACCUGGGC